CGAUCGUGACUAAAACACCACACGAGUACAUACGAGUAACAUACGAGUAACACACAAGUACAUACGAGUAACAUACGAGUACAUACGAGUACAUACGAGUAACAUACGAGUACAUACGAGUAACACACGAGCAACAUACAAGUACACACGAGUAACAUACGAGUACACACGAGUAACAUACGAGUAAAUACGAGUACAUACGAGUACAUACGAGUAAAAUACGAGUACAAUAUGAGUAAAAUACGAGAAUUAGCACGCUUUCUUUAAAGUUUCU